UGGGGAAUAUUGCACAAUGGGCGAAAGCCUGAUGCAGCGACGCCGCGUGAGUGAAGAAGUAUUUCGGUAUGUAAAGCUCUAUCAGCAGGGAAGAAAAUGACGGUACCUGACUAAGAAGCCCCGGCUAACUACGUGCCAGCAGCCGCGGUAAUACGUAGGGGGCAAGCGUUAUCCGGAUUUACUGGGUGUAAAGGGAGCGUAGACGGCGAAGCAAGUCUGAAGUGAAAACCCAGGGCUCAACCCUGGGACUGCUUUGGAAACUGUUUUGCUAGAGUGUCGGAGAGGUAAGUGGAAUUCCUAGUGUAGCGGUGAAAUGCGUAGAUAUUAGGAGGAACACCAGUGGCGAAGGCGGGUUACUGGACGAUAACUGACGUUGAGGCUCGAAAGCGUGGGGAGCAAACAGG
rnacentral:rRNA from 1 species